rnacentral:rRNA from 1 species
GGCGACCGGCGCACGGGUGAGUAACACGUAUCCAACCUGCCGCUUACUCGGGGAUAGCCUUUCGAAGAAAGAUUAAUACCCGAUGGUAUAAAGAGUUCGCAUGUUCUCUUUAUUAAAGAAUUUCGGUAAGCGAUGGGGAUGCGUUCCAUUAGAUAGUUGGCGGGGUAACGGCCCACCAAGUCUACGAUGGAUAGGGGUUCUGAGAGGAAGGUCCCCCACAUUGGAACUGAGACACGGUCCAAACUCCUACGGGAGGCAGCAGUGAGGAAUAUUGGUCAAUGGACGAGAGUCUGAACCAGCCAAGUAAGCGUGAAGGAUGACUGCCCUAUGGGUUGUAAACUUCUUUUAUAAGGGAAUAAAGUGAGGGACGUGUCCCUUUUUGUAUGUACCUUAUGAAUAAGGAUCGGCUAACUCCGUGCCAGCAGCGGC